GCUCGCGCCGCCGGGUUACGACUUUCCUCGCUAACGUCUUUGCAGAGGCUGGCGAGCCGCCAGGGGGACGGCGCGCGCUGGCAGACGGCGCCACAUCAAUAUCCCAACUAGCCACCAGAGCCCGACUCAAACGGUCGGGGACUUUAAAGGUAGCAGCUGGAGGACCUCUCUUGCCAAAGCACCACCUACCACAGCCGGCUACAAGUCCAUUAACGGAGGCCGUCUCCGCCCGGCCUCCAGUCGCCUGUGGGAGCGACUCGGGCUGUUACAUGAAAGAGGAGAGUAAUUUGGUUCACUACACAAAAGUGGACGUGCCUGGACAAUGUGAUAUUAAAAUGUCUUUGUGAUGGAAA